rnacentral:rRNA from 1 species
CAAAGUAUCUUCUGCCCACUGAUUAAUUGAAUGGCCGCAGUACUCUGACUGUGCUAAGGUAGCGUGAUUCUUGUUUUCUUAAUUAGAAAUCUGUUCAAAGAAUGAUAUGUGGAAAAUCUAUUGUUUUCAUACCUAAACAAACUUAAAUUGUUAGUGAAAAUUCUAACUAGCUCCUAAAAGACGAGAAGACCUCAUAAAACUUAAUUUAAUCAUUUAUUUUCUAUCUCUUAAAAUUUAAAUGGGGACUUUAGAGUAUAAUAAUAACUUGUUGACCUAUAAAUUUAAUAACUGAGAAGCUACUUUGGGGAUAACAGGGUGAGAUAUUUAAAGAGUCCUUAUCGAUAAAUAUAAUUACUACCUCGAUGUUGGAUUAUCUUUUCA